AACGAACGCUGGCGGCGUGCCUAACACAUGCAAGUCGUGCGAGAAAGUUCCUUCGGGAGCGAGUAAAGCGGCGCACGGGUGAGUAACACGUAGGUAACCUGCCCCCCAGUCUGGAACAACUAGAGGAAGCUCUAGCUAAUGCCGGAUGAGACCACGAUCCCUUCGGGGGUUGCGGCCAAAGAUGGCCUCUACUUGUAAGCUAUCGCUGAGGGAUGGGCCUGCGGGCCAUUUGCUUGUUGGUGAGGUAACGGCUCACCAAGGCUGUGAUGGCUAGCUGGUCUGAGAGGAUGACCAGCCACACUGGGACUGAGACACGGCCCAGACUCCUACGGGAGGCAGCAGUGGGGAAUAUUGCGCAAUGGGCGAAAGCCUGACGCAGCGACGCCGCGUGGGUGAUGAAGGCCU
rnacentral:rRNA from 1 species